rnacentral:rRNA from 1 species
UUAAGCGACUAAGCGUACACGGUGGAUGCCCUGGCAGUCAGAGGCGAUGAAGGACGUGCUAAUCUGCGAUAAGCGUCGGUAAGGUGAUAUGAACCGUUAUAACCGGCGAUUUCCGAAUGGGGAAACCCAGUGUGUUUCGACACACUAUCAUUAACUGAAUCCAUAGGUUAAUGAGGCGAACCGGGGGAACUGAAACAUCUAAGUACCCCGAGGAAAAGAAAUCAACCGAGAUUCCCCCAGUAGCGGCGAGCGAACGGGGAGCAGCCCAGAGCCUGAAUCAGUGUGUGUGUUAGUGGAAGCGUCUGGAAAGGCGCGCGAUACAGGGUGACAGCCCCGUACACAAAAAUGCACAUGCUGUGAGCUCGAUGAGUAGGGCGGGACACGUGGUAUCCUGUCUGAAUAUGGGGGGACCAUCCUCCAAGGCUAAAUACUCCUGACUGACCGAUAGUGAACCAGUACCGUGAGGGAAAGGCGAAAAGAACCCCGGCGAGGGGAGUGAAAAAGAACCUGAAACCGUGUACGUACAAGCAGUGGGAGCACGCUUAGGCGUGUGACUGCGUACCUUUUGUAUAAUGGGUCAGCGACUUAUAUUCUGUAGCAAGGUUAACCGAAUAGGGGAGCCGAAGGGAAACCGAGUCUUAACUGGGCGUUAAGUUGCAGGGUAUAGACCCGAAACCCGGUGAUCUAGCCAUGGGCAGGUUGAAGGUUGGGUAACACUAACUGGAGGACCGAACCGACUAAUGUUGAAAAAUUAGCGGAUGACUUGUGGCUGGGGGUGAAAGGCCAAUCAAACCGGGAGAUAGCUGGUUCUCCCCGAAAGCUAUUUAGGUAGCGCCUCGUGAAUUCAUCUCCGGGGGUAGAGCACUGUUUCGGCAAGGGGGUCAUCCCGACUUACCAACCCGAUGCAAACUGCGAAUACCGGAGAAUGUUAUCACGGGAGACACACGGCGGGUGCUAACGUCCGUCGUGAAGAGGGAAACAACCCAGACCGCCAGCUAAGGUCCCAAAGUCAUGGUUAAGUGGGAAACGAUGUGGGAAGGCCCAGACAGCCAGGAUGUUGGCUUAGAAGCAGCCAUCAUUUAAAGAAAGCGUAAUAGCUCACUGGUCGAGUCGGCCUGCGCGGAAGAUGUAACGGGGCUAAACCAUGCACCGAAGCUGCGGCAGCGACGCUUAUGCGUUGUUGGGUAGGGGAGCGUUCUGUAAGCCUGCGAAGGUGUGCUGUGAGGCAUGCUGGAGGUAUCAGAAGUGCGAAUGCUGACAUAAGUAACGAUAAAGCGGGUGAAAAGCCCGCUCGCCGGAAGACCAAGGGUUCCUGUCCAACGUUAAUCGGGGCAGGGUGAGUCGACCCCUAAGGCGAGGCCGAAAGGCGUAGUCGAUGGGAAACAGGUUAAUAUUCCUGUACUUGGUGUUACUGCGAAGGGGGGACGGAGAAGGCUAUGUUGGCCGGGCGACGGUUGUCCCGGUUUAAGCGUGUAGGCUGGUUUUCCAGGCAAAUCCGGAAAAUCAAGGCUGAGGCGUGAUGACGAGGCACUACGGUGCUGAAGCAACAAAUGCCCUGCUUCCAGGAAAAGCCUCUAAGCAUCAGGUAACAUCAAAUCGUACCCCAAACCGACACAGGUGGUCAGGUAGAGAAUACCAAGGCGCUUGAGAGAACUCGGGUGAAGGAACUAGGCAAAAUGGUGCCGUAACUUCGGGAGAAGGCACGCUGAUAUGUAGGUGAAGCGACUUGCUCGUGGAGCUGAAAUCAGUCGAAGAUACCAGCUGGCUGCAACUGUUUAUUAAAAACACAGCACUGUGCAAACACGAAAGUGGACGUAUACGGUGUGACGCCUGCCCGGUGCCGGAAGGUUAAUUGAUGGGGUUAGCGCAAGCGAAGCUCUUGAUCGAAGCCCCGGUAAACGGCGGCCGUAACUAUAACGGUCCUAAGGUAGCGAAAUUCCUUGUCGGGUAAGUUCCGACCUGCACGAAUGGCGUAAUGAUGGCCAGGCUGUCUCCACCCGAGACUCAGUGAAAUUGAACUCGCUGUGAAGAUGCAGUGUACCCGCGGCAAGACGGAAAGACCCCGUGAACCUUUACUAUAGCUUGACACUGAACAUUGAGCCUUGAUGUGUAGGAUAGGUGGNGAAGUGUGGACGCCAGUCUGCAUGGAGCCGACCUUGAAAUACCACCCUUUAAUGUUUGAUGUUCUAACGUUGACCCGUAAUCCGGGUUGCGGACAGUGUCUGGUGGGUAGUUUGACUGGGGCGGUCUCCUCCUAAAGAGUAACGGAGGAGCACGAAGGUUGGCUAAUCCUGGUCGGACAUCAGGAGGUUAGUGCAAUGGCAUAAGCCAGCUUGACUGCGAGCGUGACGGCGCGAGCAGGUGCGAAAGCAGGUCAUAGUGAUCCGGUGGUUCUGAAUGGAAGGGCCAUCGCUCAACGGAUAAAAGGUACUCCGGGGAUAACAGGCUGAUACCGCCCAAGAGUUCAUAUCGACGGCGGUGUUUGGCACCUCGAUGUCGGCUCAUCACAUCCUGGGGCUGAAGUAGGUCCCAAGGGUAUGGCUGUUCGCCAUUUAAAGUGGUACGCGAGCUGGGUUUAGAACGUCGUGAGACAGUUCGGUCCCUAUCUGCCGUGGGCGCUGGAGAACUGAGGGGGGCUGCUCCUAGUACGAGAGGACCGGAGUGGACGCAUCACUGGUGUUCGGGUUGUCAUGCCAAUGGCACUGCCCGGUAGCUAAAUGCGGAAGAGAUAAGUGCUGAAAGCAUCUAAGCACGAAACUUGCCCCGAGAUGAGUUCUCCCUGACNNGUCCUGAAGGAACGUUGAAGACGACGACGUUGAUAGGCCGGGUGUGUAAGCGCAGCGAUGCGUUGAGCUAACCGGUACUAAUGAACCGUGAGGCUUAACCUU